GGACGAACGCUGGCGGCGUGCUUAACCCAUGCAAGUCGAACGGAAAGGCCCUGCUUGCAGGGUACUCGAGUGGCGAACGGGUGAGUAACACGUGGGUGAUCUGCCCUUCACUUCGGGAUAAGCCUGGGAAACUGGGUCUAAUACCGGAUAGGAGCCAUUUUUAGUGUGGUGGUUGGAAAGUUUUUUCGGUGUAGGAUGAGCUCGCGGCCUAUCUGCUUGUUGGUGGGGUGAUGGCCUACCAAGGCGGCGACGGGUAGCCGGCCAGAGAGGGUGGACGGCCACCUUGGGACUGAGAGAAGGCCCAGACGCCGACGGGAGGCAGCAGUGGGGAAUAUUGCACAAUGGGCGCAAGCCUGAUGCAGCGACGCCGCGUGGGGGAUGACGGCCUUCGGGUUGUAAACACCUUUCGCUAGGGACGAAGCUUUUUGUGACGGUACCUAGAGAAGAAGCACCGGCUAACUACGUG
rnacentral:rRNA from 1 species